GUGUCAGCAGCCGCGGUAAAACGUAGGAGGCGAGCGUUAUCCGGAGUUACUGGGCGUAAAGCGCGUGUAGGCGGAUGUUCAAGUCAGUUGUGAAAGCUCCCGGCUAAACUGGGAGAGGUCGACUGAUACUGGGCGUCUGGAGUACGGGAGAGGGGUGUGGAAUUCCGGGUGUAGUGGUGAAAUGCGUAGAUAUCCGGAGGAACACCAGUGGCGAAGGCGGCACCCUGGCCCGAGACUGACGCUAAGACGCGAAAGCAUGGGUAGCGAACGGGAUUAGAUACCCUUGUAGUCC
rnacentral:rRNA from 1 species